rfam:Homo sapiens chromosome 20, GRCh38 reference primary assembly.
GCCAGGCAUGGUGGCUCAUGCCUGUAAUCCCAGCACUUUGGGAGGCCGAGGUUGGGGGAUCACCUGAGGUCAGGAGUUUGAGACCAGCCUGGCCAACAUGGUGAAACCCCAUCUCUA